rnacentral:lncRNA from 1 species
GGAGAUGCUGCUCUAGGCUGCAGCGUGCUUUGUCAUUUGUUCUUCCGCCAGCGCCCAUCGUGAAGACCACAGUUUCCUGUCGCGUGGAUGUGUUUCCUCUCUGGCCAUUGCCAUCCGCCCAAAUCUACAGACAUCCCGCAUGUUCCCGGGCUCGUCUCCCCAAUACAGGGCACCAAGGCUGUAGACUGCGCAGCCCUCCUGGAGACAGAUGGAAGCUCCUUGGGUCGACAGAUUACAGCUUCUGGAACCCCCUACUCCCUUCAACUCCGAGAUGGACACCCACUGUCCAGGGAGAGGAUGCCUGGAAAUAACAGCUGGGAUCUACAGUGGCCAAAGAGUUGUCUCCGUCUUGCUACAUCGACAAACUGGUGCUCCUGAGUGAGGAUUGUGCCCUGGGAUGGGGGAUUCAGUUUCUUCAUUUAUAGUUGGAAGUGGGUGAAGUGCCAGGAGCGACGGUACACUCCAGAGUGCUGUGCCCUGAUGGGCCUUUGAGUGGCCAGUGCAGUGGAUCAUCAGCCCUGUCUCCCAAGAGCUCCAGUCCCUUCUCCGGAGAGGAAGUGGGUCCACUGGCAGCUCAGGAGGCCAUAGCAGGAUUGUCACGUGUGCUCAACAGUCCUCCUCGGCUUUCCAGAAGAGGCUGGAACAGGGCCCUUGAAGAUGUUUGUGGACAUCAGAGGGCCAAAGACGACACAAAGUGAAACUGGAGACACCGCCCCCCCUUGGCAUCAUGAAACUGCCGAUGUUACUGGCUCAUGCAUGGGAGACACCAGCAUACAAAGUCUUGACACCAACACCUCAGAGGGCUGUGUUCUGUCCCCGUGACCAUCAUCUAGUGCCUGGAAAGACUAGUGACAAGAACUUGUUGCCAACUUCCUAUUACCUCCCUAACAGUUGUGCAAUAAACCCCAUAGGUUAAUUCAGUCUGCCUUUUAAAUCUGUGUCAACCCAUGAAUUCAGGGCUAGGUGUGGAAAAGGAGGCUAGCUCCUGACACGCCUGUGACUUUCCUGUUCUUAAUGCCCCCUGAGGCUUGGGCUUCAGGGUGUUGGGAGUGGACAAGUAGGGCUGGUAGUCUAUAUGAUUUUAGGGCUUGUGAGAGUUGAGAUAGCUGAACAGAGAAGGUCAGAACUUGGGGAAGGUGCCUGUGUCAAUAAAAAAAGGCUGGGGUGUCACAGUCCUAGGAAGUGACGUAUCAUUGCUGAGAACUAGGGGUGUGAAUGGGCAAAUGGACUGGAAUAUAAAAUGUAGAGCAUUUUCCUGACAGGACAGGUUGCUGUAGACAGGAACGAGGGUAUGCUCAGUGACUGGCUUUGGAGGACCUUAAGGAACAGAAGUACUCUGGGUGGGGUGGAAGAGAAGAAAUGCCCUUGAGUGACUUGGAUACCAAUAGGGCCAAAGAGAAACUGGUAAAGAGGGUGUAAUUACUGAUGGAUUUAUAACUAGGACUUUUCUAUUGGAAGUGAAGGACCUGGGGAAGGCUUGGUAAGGCUGCUUACCAAGCUUAGAUCCCAGAACACAAACAGGUAAAUGGUACAUUUUUAAAACUAACACAUUUUUCUUGUCUGAGAAUUUCUAAAUUUUGAUUUUUAAAUUAAGUCUGUGUAGGGAGGUCUGCAGUUCACAGAAGGCAUAUGAUCACCGGACUGGGUGUUAGAGGUGGCCUUGAGCCUCCUGACAUGAAUGCUGGGGACUGAACCCGACCUCUGCAAGGACAGAAUUCAUGGACCAUCUCCAGGCCAGUGAAGAGCUUGAUAGCAGGCUGUAGGUGUGGACAGCUACGGUGCCCCUGGACUUGUGGGAACACCAAAGCUAGGGGUUGGUUUGUAAGGGGUUCGAGACAGGGUUUCUCUGUAGCCCUGGCUGUCCUGGAACUCACUCUAUAGACCAGGCUGGCCUCCAACUCAGAAAUCUGCCUGCCUCUCCUAAGUGCUGGGACUAAAAGCAUGUGCCACCACUGCCCGGCCUAGUUUUUUAUUUCAGAGAAAGAUUUUUGGAGUUAUUCUGAGUGGGGUGGUCUUUCCAUUCUGAGAAGGUAUUAGCUAAGAUUUGUCUUGAUACUUUUGCAGUUUUUUUUUUUUAAAGAUUUAUUUAUUAUUAUAUGUAAGUACACUGUAGCUGUUUUCAGACACCCCAGCAGAGGGAGUCAGAUCUCAUUACGGAUGGUUGUGAGCCACCAUGUGGUUGCUAGGCAUUGAACUCAGGACCUUCAGAAGAGCAGUCAGUGCUCCUAACCGCUGAGCCAUGUCUCCAGCCCCUUGUAGUGGUUUUUAAGCAUUCUAGAUAUCUGGAAUUUAAGCUAGAGAUGGUUCUAGAAAAGUUCUUGAAUUUUUAUGUGACAACUUCUAAUGUUACUGGGCCUCAUGAUGGAUGCUUACCAAGGCUGGGAUUGACAGUCAUUUAUCUUUAGAUUUUGGGUGUUCCCAUUAGCAUUGGUUACUAUACAAAUUUAUUUAAUAGAGUCUUGAAUGAUUAAGGAAGAGAAUGGAGCCCUCUACUGUUGGUUGGGAAGAACGUUAACAUUGGUACUGAAAGAUCCUGACAGAAUGUAAAAGGUCACAGAAGCCCUGAAAUUGACAAAAUAGAUUUCAUUGUUAGUAGAAGUAGCUUCACUGAUUUAGAAAAACAGAGGUGCACAGUGCUCUGGCCCCUUCUUGAAUCUGUGUCUGAAUGUUCUGACCGUUCCUUGAACCCAGCUGUGUGUCCACUGCUGCACCUCACUGCCAGGUGUUUGUGAUAUUGGUUGCUAAGAUAGAGUCAGAAAAUCUCCCCAGCAUUAGACUCUCCUUGUUUCCCUCCCAUACCCAUUUCUUAAGAAAUCAAUCAUUUUACAUUGUUUAGAUCUGGAAAUCCCCUACUCCCCUCUUCUCCUUUCCCCCCUGAGGACCUAUAAAAACUGGGACCCCUUUCCCCUCGGGGUCAACUCCUCUACCCCUGAGUGGGAUACGAGUCGUCCCCCGAGUUCUGGCUUUCCCCAAAUAAAGCCUCAUGUGGUUUGCAUCAA